rnacentral:rRNA from 1 species
AUUGAACGCUGGCGGCAGGCCUAACACAUGCAAGUCGAACGGUAGCACAGAGAGCUUGCUCUCGGGUGACGAGUGGCGGACGGGUGAGUAACGUCUGGGAAACUGCCCGAUGGAGGGGGAUAACUACUGGAAACGGUAGCUAAUACCGCAUAACGUCGCAAGACCAAAGUGGGGGACCUUCGGGCCUCACACCAUCGGAUGUGCCCAGAUGGGAUUAGCUAGUAGGUGGGUAAUGGCUCACCUAGGCGACGAUCCCUAGCUGGUCUGAGAGGGUGACCAGCCACACUGGAACUGAGACACGGUCCAGACUCCUACGGGAGGCAGCAGUGGGGAAUAUUGCACAAUGGGCGCAAGCCUGAUGCAGCCAUGCCGCGUGUAUGAAGAAGGCCUUCGGGUUGUAAAGUACUUUCAGCGGGGAGGAAGGCGGUGAAGUUAAUAGCUUCACCGAUUGACGUUACCCGCAGAAGAAGCACCGGCUAACUCCGUGCCAGCCGCCGCGGUAA